AAAAGGGCCCUGUCGAAGAACAGAGUUGAGAUCCUCUUCCGACGUAAAAUUAAGCAGGAACUUCCCAUUGCCCAAAUCAUUGGCCGUAAUGCGAUCUUCCAUACCCGAUUGUGAUGGCAUUUUCCGAAGUAACUUCUCGACAUUUUGUUUCUUUGGAUUGAGCACCUUCCCAAUAAGUGAUAAACUAAAUUCGCUAGCAAUCAGUGUAUCAUCCUGGUCCAUCAGUUUGAUCGGUGCGUCGUCA
rnacentral:lncRNA from 1 species